rfam:Desulfurispirillum indicum S5, complete genome.
GGGGGCGCACUGGUUUCGACGGGAACACAGAAGCAAUUGACGCAUGCCAGGGGGCUGGUGGCCCUGUAAAAACCAGCAAAACAACAAACGCCAACGACGAAAACGUUCUGGCUGCUGCGUAAGCAGCACUAACCCCCACGGGACCCGGCCUGCAGGGCCCCAUGGUGGAAAAUCGCAGGCUGUUGCUUUGACAGUGCUCUCCGGUCAAAGACGAGGAUAACAGGAGAACUCGGCUUUCGGAUACCGUGCCGCCUCGGGCUCCGGAAGGCUAAAGCAAACAAGCGGACAAGCAUGUAGGGUUGGUUGUGGAAAUGGUCUCGGACAGGGGUUCGACUCCCCUCGCCUCCACCA